rnacentral:rRNA from 1 species
AUUGAACGCUGGCGGCAGGCUUAACACAUGCAAGUCGAGCGGGGAAAGGUAGCUUGCUACCUGACCUAGCGGCGGACGGGUGAGUAAUGCUUAGGAAUCUGCCUAUUAGUGGGGGACGACAUUCCGAAAGGAAUGCUAAUACCGCAUACGCCCUACGGGGGAAAGCAGGGGAUCUUCGGACCUUGCGCUAAUAGAUGAGCCUAAGUCAGAUUAGCUAGUUGGUGGGGUAAAGGUCUACCAAGGCGACGAUCUGUAGCGGGUCUGAGAGGAUGAUCCGCCACACUGGGACUGAGACACGGCCCAGACUCCUACGGGAGGCAGCAGUGGGGAAUAUUGGACAAUGGGCGAAAGCCUGAUCCAGCCAUGCCGCGUGUGUGAAGAAGGCCUUUCGGUUGUAAAGCACUUUAAGCGAGGAGGAGGCUACUUGGAUUAAUACUCUAGGAUAGUGGACGUUACUCGCAGAAUAAGCACCGGCUAACUCUGUGCCAGCCGCCGCAGUAA